UACGGGGGGAGCAAGCGUUGUUCGGAUUUACUGGGCGUAAAGGGCGCGUAGGCGGUCGUGACAAGUCACUUGUGAAAUCUCCGGGCUUAACUCGGAACGGUCAAGUGAUACUGUCGGACUAGAGUACAGAAGGGGCAACUGGAAUUCUCGGUGUAGCGGUGAAAUGCGUAGAUAUCGAGAGGAACACCUGGCGGCGAAGGCGGGUUGCUGGGCGUGA
rnacentral:rRNA from 1 species